AUGAAGGAGACAAGUCGACAUGUUCCCAUCGACAAUGGCAACGAUAUGUUGGAAAUCUCUAGUGUUUACAUUGGGAAAACAAUUGAAAUCAUAACAAUAAAAUCAAAUUCGAAAUUUGUGAGUACGCCAACG
rfam:Drosophila grimshawi strain TSC#15287-2541.00 scaffold_14906 genomic scaffold, whole genome shotgun sequence.